rnacentral:rRNA from 1 species
GGGUGAGUAACGCGUGGGAACGUGCCCUUCAGUCUGGAAUAACACCGGGAAACUGGUGCUAAUACCGGAUAUUCCCCCCGGGGGAAAGAUUUAUCGCUGAAGGAUCGGCCCGCGUAAGAUUAGGUAGUUGGUGGGGUAAUGGCCUACCAAGCCUACGAUCUUUAGCUGGUCUGAGAGGAUGAUCAGCCACACUGGAACUGAGACACGGUCCAGACUCCUACGGGAGGCAGCAGUGGGGAAUAUUGGACAAUGGGGGAAACCCUGAUCCAGCCAUGCCGCGUGAGUGAUGAAGGCCCUAGGGUUGUAAAGCUCUUUUGUCAGGGAAGAUGAUGACGGUACCUGAAGAAUAAGCACCGGCUAACUUCGUGCCAGCAGCCGCGGUAAUACGAAGGGUGCUAGCGUUGUUCGGAAUUACUGGGCGUAAAGCGCGCGUAGGCGGCGAUGCAAGUCAGAGGUGAAAUCCCCAGGCUCAACCUGGGAAUUGCCUUUGAAACUGCAUUGCUUGAGUGUCGGAGGGGAUAGCGGAAUUGCUAAUGUAGAGGUGAAAUUCGUAGAUAUUAGCAGGAACACCGGUGGCGAAGGCGGCUAUCUGGACGACAACUGACGCUGAGGCGCGAAAGCGUGGGGAUCAAACAGGAUUAGAUACCCUGGUAGUCCACGCCGUAAACGAUGGGUGCUAGCUGUUCGGGGGUUACCCCUGAGUAGCGCAGCUAACGCGUUAAGCACCCCGCCUGGGGAGUACGGUCGCAAGAUUAAAACUCAAAGAAAUUGACGGGGACCCGCACAAGCGGUGGAACAUGUGGUUUAAUUCGAGGCAACGCGAAGAA